CGAAACUAAAAAAGGUAAAAUAUCUCAGGCUACAAUCAAAUCCUCCUUCAGUGAAGGGAAUCUGAUAAAUAGACAUCCAAACAAACAAUGCUUAUGGGGGCAUCAAAGAAAGAUUCUGAUGCUGGGAUUGAGAUUGGUUGUUAUAUACUAGGAGAUUGGCUGUUAUAUACUAGGAGUCGGAGAUUGGAUGUUAUAUACUAGGAGAUUGGAUGUUAUAUACUGGGAGAUUGGCUGUUAUAUACUGGGAGAUUGGAUGUUAUAUACUAGGAGAUUGGCUGUUAUACACUAGGAGAUUGGUUGUUAUAUACUUGGAGACUGGCUGUUAUAUACUAGGAGAUUGGCUGUUAUAUACUUGGAGACUGGCUGUUAUAUACUAGGAGAUUGGAUGUUAUAUACUAGGAGAUUGGUUGUUAUAUACUAGGAGAUUGGAUGUUAUAUACUAGGAGAUUGGUUGUUAUAUACUAGGAGAUUGGAUGUUAUACACUAGGAGAUUGGUUGUUAUAUACUAGGAGAUUGGCUGUUAUACACUAGGAGAUUGGAUGUUAUAUACUAGGAGAUUGGCUGUUAUACACUAGGAGAUUGGUUGUUAUAUACUAGGAGAUUGGCUGUUAUAUACUAGGAGACUGGCUGUUAUACACUAGGAGAUUGGUUGUUAUACACUAGGAGAUUGGCUGUUAUAUACUAGGAGACUGGAUGUUAUAUACUAGGAGAUUGGCUGUUAUAUACUAGGAGAUUGGCUGUUAUACACUAGGAGAUUGGCUGUUAUAUACUUGGAGAUUGGAUGUUAUAUACUAGGAGACUGGCUGUUAUACACUAGGAGAUUGGUUGUUAUACACUAGGAGAUUGGUUGUUACACACUAGGAGAUUGGAUGUUAUACACUAGGAGAUUGGCUGUUAUAUACUAGGAGAUUGGAUGUUAUACACUAGGAGAUUGGCUGUUAUAUACUAGGAGAUUGGCUGUUAUACACUAGGAGAUUGGUUGUUAUAUACUAGGAGAUUGGCUGUUAUAUACUAGGAGACUGGCUGUUAUACACUAGGAGAUUGGUUGUUAUACACUAGGAGAUUGGUUGUUACACACUAGGAGAUUGGUUGUUAUAAACUUGAAGAUUUUCAGCGAUUUUAUUUUCUUAUGUAAUUCAUCCAGAUUUGUUAUGGACCAGAAAAGGUAGAUUUGAAGCUCUGUACUUUUCAUUACUAUUAAUUCAUUUAUUAAACUGAGGAUUGCAGUAACCGGAGUUAUUUUACAAAUUGUUCACAAUUCUUUAGUUUAUUUUAUAAGCCACUUGAUUUUAUGCAGGACCCAUGCGACAGGCGUUAUCGAAGCUCUUGGAUUCUAUAAAUGCUUUUCUUAUUUUACAGUUAAUCAAG